CCUACGGGUGGCAGCAGUGGGGAAUAUUGGACAAUGGGCGCAAGCCUGAUCCAGCCAUGCCGCGUGGGUGAAGAAGGCCUUCGGGUUGUAAAGCCCUUUUGUUGGGAAAGAAAAGCAGCCGGUUAAUACCCGGUUGUUCUGACGGUACCCAAAGAAUAAGCACCGGCUAACUUCGUGCCAGCAGCCGCGGUAAUACGAAGGGUGCAAGCGUUACUCGGAAUUACUGGGCGUAAAGCGUGCGUAGGUGGUUCGUUAAGUCUGAUGUGAAAGCCCUGGGCUCAACCUGGGAAUUGCACUGGAUACUGGCGGGCUAGAGUGCGGUAGAGGAUGGCGGAAUUCCCGGUGUAGCAGUGAAAUGCGUAGAGAUCGGGAGGAACAUCCGUGGCGAAGGCGGCCAUCUGGACCAGCACUGACACUGAGGCACGAAAGCGUGGGGAGCA
rnacentral:rRNA from 1 species